UACAGAGGGGGCAAGCGUUGUUCGGAAUUACUGGGCGUAAAGGGCGCGUAGGCGGCCUGCUAAGUCGAACGUGAAAUCCCCGAGCUCAACUCGGGAACUGCGUCCGAUACUGGCAGGCUUGAAUCCGGGAGAGGGAUGCGGAAUUCCAGGUGUAGCGGUGAAAUGUGUUGAUAUCAUCAGGAACUCCGGUGGCGAAAGCGGCAUGCUGGACCUUCACUGACGCUGAUGCGCGAAAGCUAGGGGAGCGAACGGG
rnacentral:rRNA from 1 species